rnacentral:rRNA from 1 species
UUGGAUCCAGACUUUGAUCAUGGCUCAGGAUGAACGCUAGCGGCAGGCUUAACACAUGCAAGUCGAGGGGCAGCGCGGAAGUAGCAAUACUUCUGGCGGCGACCGGCAGAAGGGUGCGUAACACGUGAGCAACCUGCCCGUGACAGGGGGAUAACCGACGGAAACGUCGCCUAAUACCCCGUAACAACAUAGGAGGCAUCUCCAGUGUUUGAAAGACACGUCAGUCACGGAUGGGCUCGCGGUACAUUAGCUAGUUGGCGGGGUAACGGCCCACCAAGGCGACGAUGUAUAGGGGUUCUGAGAGGAAGGUCCCCCACACUGGAACUGAGACACGGUCCAGACUCCUACGGGAGGCAGCAGUGAGGAAUAUUGGACAAUGGAGGCAACUCUGAUCCAGCCAUGCCGCGUGAAGGAAUAAGGCCCUAUGGGUCGUAAACUUCUUUUGACGCAGAGCAAUAAGGACUACGCGUAGUCUGAUGAGAGUAUGCGUCGAAUAAGCAUCGGCUAACUCCGUGCCAGCAGCCGCGGUAAUACGGAGGAUGCGAGCGUUAUCCGGAUUUAUUGGGUUUAAAGGGUGCGUAGGCUGAAGAUCAAGUCAGCGGUGAAAUGUCCCGGCUCAACCGGGGCCUUGCCGUUGAAACUGGUCAUCUGGAAUGCGGAUGCCGUGGGAGGAAUGUGUGGUGUAGCGGUGAAAUGCAUAGAUAUCACACAGAACACCGAUUGCGAAGGCAUCUCACGAAUCCGCAAUUGACGCUGAGGCACGAAAGCGUGGGGAUCAAACAGGAUUAGGUACCCUGGUAGUCCACGCAGUAAACGAUGAUGACUAACUGCCGGCGAUACAGUGUCGGUGGCCAAGCGAAAGCGAUAAGUCAUCCACCUGGGGAGUACGACCGCAAGGUUGCAACUCAAAUGAAUUGACGGA